UGCAGUGAUGUCCUUUGUGUGUGUUUUAUUGUGCAGAGACUGAACCAGCUGCAGUCUACUCAGCAGUGAGAGCUGAAGACGUCAGUUAUGGACCAAUUAUCAUCAUAGAGAAGCAAAGAAAGUCAAAGAAAAGAGAGUGUGAUCCAGCUGGAGUCUACUCAUCAGUGCAAACUGGAGACGUCAGUUAUGGACAAAUCACCAUCAAAGA